UACGGAGGGGCUAGCGUUGUUCGGAAUUACUGGGCGUAAAGCGCACGUAGGCGGCUUUGUAAGUUAGAGGUGAAAGCCCGGGGCUCAACUCCGGAAUUGCCUUUAAGACUGCAUCGCUAGAAUUGUGGAGAGGUAAGUGGAAUUCCGAGUGUAGAGGUGAAAUUCGUAGAUAUUCGGAAGAACACCAGUGGCGAAGGCGACUUACUGGACACAUAUUUGACGCUGAGGUGCAAAGCGUGGGGAGCAAACAGGG
rnacentral:rRNA from 1 species